rnacentral:rRNA from 1 species
AGGGCAAGCUAUUCUCGAAGAUUAAGCCAUGUAUGUGCCAAGUUCAUACGUUUUUACGUGAGACUGCGGACGGCUCAGUAUAUCAGUGAUUAUCUAUUUGAUUGUAUCUCCCAUUGGAUAACCGUGGGAAAUCUAGAGCUAAUACAUGUAGUUAAUUGGCGUAUCUUCGGGUACGUCAAAGCAUUUAUUAGAUUAAACCAUCUACUACUCUGUAGUAAGACGAAUCUAGAUAACUUGUCUGAUCGUAUGGCCUCGUGCCGGCGACGUUUCAAUUGAGUUUCUGCCCUAUCAACUUGUUGGUAAGGUAUUGGCUUACCAAGGUUGCAACGGGUAACGGGGAAUCAGGGUUCGAUUCCGGAGAGGGAGCCUGAGAAACGGCUACCACAUCCAAGGAAGGCAACAGGCGCGCAAAUUACCCAAUCUAGACAGUAGGAGGUGGUGAAGAGAAUUACUAAGUGGUGGUUCAAUGAACUACCAACUUGGAAUGGACGUAACUUAAGCAAUUCGUUGAGAAACAACUGGAGGGCAAGUCCUGGUGCCAGCAGCCGCGGUAAUUCCAGCUCCAGUAGUUUGCUUUAAAGUUGUUGCGUUUAAAACGCUCGUAGUUGGAUCAUGCAACAGUGUACGGUAAUCUAUUCAUUAGACCAGAUAUUUCGAGGAGUCGUUGAAAGACGACACUUGUGAUCUGGACUGUGAUAGAUAUAAAAGCUGAACACUGUUAAUUGCGUGUGAGAUGGAUUGUUGACCUUUAGUGAGUCGGUAAUCCUGUCUCGCGGGAUGUGCCUUGAAUAAAACAGAGUGCUUAAAGCAGGUUGAUGCCUGAAUGUUAUAGCAUGGAAACGAACAAUAGUGUAUACGUAUGCGAUUUUCAAUAGUGACAGGCCUAUGGCUUGCCACUGUUGGGGGCGCGUACAUCACCCACCAAAAUAUGGCUGUUGGUUCCAUAUACGGUGAUGAUUAAAAGGAGCGGUUGGGGGCAUCGGUAUUUGGCCGCGAGAGGUGAAAUUCUUGGACCGGCCAAGGACUAACAAAUGCAAAGGCACUUGUCUAGACCGUUUCCAUUAAUCAAGAACGAAAGUGGGAGGUUCGAAGACGAUCAGAUACCGUCCUAGUUCCCACUGUAAACUAUGCCGACCUGGGAUCAGUUUAGAGAUGCUACAAGCUCUAAAUUGGUCCCCCUGGGAAACCUCAAGUUUUUCGGUUACGGGGAGAGUAUGGUCGCAAGGCUGAAACUUAAAGGAAUUGACGGAAGGGCACCACCAGGGGUGGAGCCUGCGGCUUAAUUUGACUCAACACGGGGAAACUUACCUGGUCCGGACAUCGAUAGGAUACACAGACCAAUAGAUCUUUGUUGAUGCGAUGAGUGGUGGUGCAUGGCCGUUCUUAGUUCGUGGAGUGAUCUGUCGGCUUUACUGCGGUAACGAACGAGACCACAGUCUCCAUUUAAGAAACAGAAAAAGACAACCUAUUGUUGGGACUAGUCUCACCCAGUAGGUUGUUGUUGGUUAGAGUUGUGGCUAUAUAGCAACGUUGUGGAAGAGCAAUCUUAAAUAGCGAAGCUGUAUGGCUGUGCCUUUUCCUUUCUGUCAAGUAGUAACUGGUUUACACUAGUUGCUGCCUUAUGGAGAGACAACGAGGUAUAAUCAAGCUCGAGGAAGAGUGGCUAUAACAGGUCAGUGAUGCCCUUCGAUGUUCAGGGCUGCACGCGCGCUACAAUGAUAACGACAACGAGUAUCCGCGUCGAAAGACGUAGGUAAUCUUUAAUCGUUAUCGUGAUGGGGAUUGACCGUUGUAAUUUUCGGUCAUGAAAGAGGAAUCCCUAGUAUGCAUAUUUUAUUAGAAUGUGCAGAUUGAGUCCCUGCCCUUUGUA